rnacentral:rRNA from 1 species
AUACGAACCGUACGAACGUUAUUCGGAAUCACUGGGCUUAAAGAGUGCGUAGGCGGCUUGGAAAGUUGGGUGUGAAAUCCCUCGGCUCAACCGAGGAAUUGCGCCCAAAACUGUCAAGCUUGAGGGAGAUAGAGGUAAGCGGAACUAAUGGUGGAGCGGUGAAAUGCGUUGAUAUCAUUAGGAACACCUGAGGCGAAAGCAGCUUACUGGGUCUCUUCUGACGCUGAGGCACGAAAGCUAGGGGAGCGAACGGGAUUAGAUACCCGAGUAGUCC